CGUGAAACCCCAACGUGGCUCCUGUUUCCGGAGAGCGAAGUAGGGAGCCUGGUGACAAAGCAGGAGCCUGGCAGAGAGAAUGCAAUGAAUGGGACAGUUCUUUGCUGAGGACUCAUGGGCCGGAGUAUGAGUUGCUUCUCUAAUUAUGUUCAAGAAAAUGUUGAGAAGUUUCAAGGAGAGCUCUGACUGCCUUGGCCCCCCUCUCUUCCCAUCCUGUCUCCCCUCUGCAGCAUGCCCAGCCCCUGCCCCACCUUCUCAGGGAUCCGCUGCCUCACUCUGCAGAUAAAGAAACAGAGCCUCAGAGAUCGAGCAAGUUACCCAUGUUCACAGACCUGGAUCUGUGCUCACAGAGGAAGACCAGGUGAGGACACGGAGAAGAUGGCCACCUGUCAGCCAAGGAGAGAGGCUUCUAAAGAAGUCAGACUUGCAGAUGCCUUGAUCUUGGAUUUCCAACCUGCAGAACUGUGAGAAAAUAAAUUGUUGUUG